UUCCGGUCUGAAGAAAUGGCCAAGGAUUUGAGGUGGCACUUUACCAACAAAAGCAGUGAUGGAAAGCUGCGUCAUCCUGUUGAUUCUGUGACAUGGGAUCAUAUGAAUGCCAAAUACCCUACGUUUGCAGAUGAAGCAAGGAACCUGAGGCUGGGACUUUCAACAGAUGGAUUCAAUCCAUUCAACAUGAAGAACUCGAUGUACAGUUGCUGGCCUGUUCAAGGCUUCAAGGUGGAAGACUAAUGUCCACACGGGUGAGACGAAGAAAGGCGUCCCACAGAAAGUUCUCCGUUACUUCCCUGUAAUACCAAGACUAAAGAGAAUGUUCCGGUCUAAAGAAAUGGCCAAGGAUUUUAGGUGGCACUUUACCAACAAAAGCAGUGGUGGAAAGCUGCGUCAUCCUGUUGAUUCUGUGACAUGGGAUCAUAUGAAUGCCAAAUACCCUACGUUUGCAGAUGAAGCAAGGAACCUGAGGCUGGGACUUUCAACAGAUGGAUUCAAUCCAUUCAACAUGAAGAACUCGAUGUACAGUUGCUGGCCUGUUCUGCUAGUUAACUACAACUUACCUCCAGACCUGUGCAUGAAGAAGGAGAACAUCAUGCUUUCUUUGCUG
rnacentral:lncRNA from 1 species